AGUGAACGCUGGCGGUAGGCCUAACGCAUGCAAGUCGAACGGCAGCACAGUAAGAGCUUGCUCUUACGGGUGGCGAGUGGCGGACGGGAGAGGAAUACAUCGGAAUCUACUUUUUCGUGGGGGAUAAGGUAGGGAAACUUACGCUAAUACCGCAUACGACCUACGGGUGAAAGCAGGGGAUCUUCGGACCUUGCGGGAUUGAAUGAGCCGAUGUCGGAUUAGCUAGUUGGCGGGGUAAAGGCCCACCAAGGCGACGAUCCGUAGCUGGUCUGAGAGGAUGAUCAGCCACACUGGAACUGAGACACGGUCCAGACUCCUACGGGAGGCAGCAGUGGGGAAUAUUGGACAAUGGGCGCAAGCCUGAUCCAGCCAUACCGCGUGGGGGAAGAAGGCCUUCGGGUUGUAAAGCCCUUUUGUUGGGAAAGAAAAGCAGCAGGUUAAUACCCCGCUGUUCUGACGGUACCCAAAGAAUAAGCACCGGCUAACUUCGUG
rnacentral:rRNA from 1 species